CGAUAACGGCGUCGAGCGGCGGACGGGUGAGUAAUGCCUAGGAAAUUGCCCUGAUGUGGGGGAUAACCAUUGGAAACGAUGGCUAAUACCGCAUAAUGCCUACGGGCCAAAGAGGGGGACCUUCGGGCCUCUCGCGUCAGGAUAUGCCUAGGUGGGAUUAGCUAGUUGGUGAGGUAAUGGCUCACCAAGGCGACGAUCCCUAGCUGGUCUGAGAGGAUGAUCAGCCACACUGGAACUGAGACACGGUCCAGACUCCUACGGGAGGCAGCAGUGGGGAAUAUUGCACAAUGGGCGCAAGCCUGAUGCAGCCAUGCCGCGUGUGUGAAGAAGGCCUUCGGGUUGUAAAGCACUUUCAGUCGUGAGGAAGGUGGUGUAGUUAAUAGCUGCAUUAUUUGACGUUAGCGACAGAAGAAGCACCGGCUAACUCCGUGCCAGCAGCCGCGGUAAUACGGAGGGUGCGAGCGUUAAUCGGAAUUACUGGGCGUAAAGCGCAUGCAGGUGGUUUGUUAAGUCAGAUGUGAAAGCCCGGGGCUCAACCUCGGAAUAGCAUUUGAAACUGGCAGACUAGAGUACUGUAGAGGGGGGUAGAAUUUCAGGUGUAGCGGUGAAAUGCGUAGAGAUCUGAAGGAAUACCGGUGGCGAAGGCGGCCCCCUGGACAGAUACUGACACUCAGAUGCGAAAGCGUGGGGAGCAAACAGGAUUAGAUACCCUGGUAGUCCACGCCGUAAACGAUGUCUACUUGGAGGUUGUGGCCUUGAGCCGUGGCUUUCGGAGCUAACGCGUUAAGUAGACCGCCUGGGGAGUACGGUCGCAAGAUUAAAACUCAAAUGAAUUGACGGGGGCCCGCACAAGCGGUGGAGCAUGUGGUUUAAUUCGAUGCAACGCGAAGAACCUUACCUACUCUUGACAUCCAGAGAACUUUCCAGAGAUGGAUUGGUGCCUUCGGGAACUCUGAGACAGGUGCUGCAUGGCUGUCGUCAGCUCGUGUUGUGAAAUGUUGGGUUAAGUCCCGCAACGAGCGCAACCCUUAUCCUUGUUUGCCAGCGAGUAAUGUCGGGAACUCCAGGGAGACUGCCGGUGAUAAACCGGAGGAAGGUGGGGACGACGUCAAGUCAUCAUGGCCCUUACGAGUAGGGCUACACACGUGCUACAAUGGCGCAUACAGAGGGCAGCAAGCUAGCGAUAGUGAGCGAAUCCCAAAAAGUGCGUCGUAGUCCGGAUUGGAGUCUGCAACUCGACUCCAUGAAGUCGGAAUCGCUAGUAAUCGUGGAUCAGAAUGCCACGGUGAAUACGUUCCCGGGCCUUGUACACACCGCCCGUCACACCAUGGGAGUGGGCUGCAAAAGAAGUAGGUAG
rnacentral:rRNA from 1 species